rnacentral:rRNA from 1 species
UCGAGAAUCUUCGGCAAUGGGCGCAAGCCUGACCGAGCGACGCCGCGUGGAGGACGAAGGCCUUCGGGUUGUAAACUCCUGUCGAGGGGGAGGAAGGCGCAAGCUUGACCGAUCCCUGGAGGAAGCACGGGCUAAGUUCGUGCCAGCAGCCGCGGUAAGACGAACCGUGCGAACGUUAUUCGGAAUCACUGGGCUUAAAGCGCGUGUAGGCGGGCCGCCACGUCGGCUGCUGAAAUCCCCCGGCUCAACCGGGGAACGGGCACCGAUACGGGCGGCCUCGAGGGGGGUAGGGGGGUCUGGAACUUCCGGUGGAGCGGUGAAAUGCGUUGAGAUCGGAAGGAACGCCCGUGGCGAAAGCGAGGCCCUGGACCCUUUCUGACGCUGAGACGCGAAAGCCAGGGGAGCGAACG